UGGAGGCACUCAAAAAGCUCAGAGGGGUUUUCUAUGUGUGCCUCACCAUCCCUGAUGUAAUGCAUGGCAGUACAGGAGAAAACUAGCAGGGAUAGCAGCAGCUGUUGAAAAACUAAGCACGAAUGCUGAAAAUGAGCCCCAUGAUUGCUGACUGUAUGUUCAUCACGAUGGGAGGCACCGCGUACGCAACAAGAGACCUCAUCCGUCUGUAUUGGCAGGCAAAAAUUGAUAGCCCAAUGAGGAAGGAGGCUAUAAUUCAAGAAGCUUUCAAGAGAAAAAUAUCUUUUUUGGCUAUGUGCAAACCAUUUGUGAAAGGAG
rnacentral:lncRNA from 1 species